GCUGGGUGUGGUGGUGCACGCCUGUAAUCCCAGCUACGUGGGAGGCUGAGGCAGGAGAAUCGCUUGAACCCAGGAGUCAGAGGUUGCCUUGAGCCAAGAUCUUGACACUGCACUCCAGCCUGGGCAACAGAGCGAGACUCUGUCUCAA
rnacentral:SRP_RNA from 1 species